rnacentral:lncRNA from 1 species
GCCCCCUCGCGCGCCGCCCGGCGCCCCGCGCACGCGCGCCGCCCCCUGCUCCUUCAGCGAGGGUCUGCGGGGAGCGCGCGUCCAACGCAGGUAAUGAUGAAACUCCUGCUCUGGUCCGGGCUACCGGUGAACAGCGCCCAGCGGGCCGGGCCCCCAACCUCGCUCCUGAGCCUGAACAUCCCCCCAACCCCACCGUGAGAAUUCAGCGAAGAGUAAAAGCUGGAAAAAGUUGCGUGUCUUAGGCUAAGCAGAACAAAGUGGGGUGACGGCUCCCCGGCUAGGAACAGAGAUGCCCUUAGGGAGCCCUCUGAUGGAAGAGCUCUCCGCUUAAGAAGGUCACCACUCCCUUACACUCAGGAGAUGUUGCUGAGAUGGGUGCAUUAAAGUUUAGGCUUUCCAGAGUUUAUAUUGCUAACAACUUGAAAGGAAAAAAGCUAACUAGAGAACUGACUGGUCUUAUUUGUUUUAGAUUCUGGGCUUUACUAAGACUUCCUACUCUCAGAAUCUCUGGACUAUAAACGCUGGGUGGGGUGGGAGCUGGGAAUGUUAUUCUGGAAAAUUAAUCACAAAUGAAAAGAAAAUCAACUCUAAGACUCCAGUUAGAAGAUUUUUGAAAAUGGCAGAACAUGACUGGCCUUCAUUCAAGUCAGAAUAUUUAAAGCAAUCCUUGCUAAGAAGAACUUGAUUUUGUAUAAGCAGUCCCUUAAAUACAGUUGCUUCUCAAGAAAACCACACACAAUUGAUGUUUGAAUGGCUUUAUUUACAAACAUCUCACUCCGUAAGCCUCUGCAGGUAUUUCUAGCCUCCCAGGGGCCACUGUCCCGUUUCACCUGUAAUUUGGAUCACAAUUCUGUUUGUUGUCACACACAUCAUAUGAACUGCUUUUCAUGCUGCUUUUAUCCACAAAGCUUUACAAGCUU